UCCCUUCUGCCCUGCUCGUCAGGUCGCCAUUCGAUGAUCCCCGAUGAGGUCGACCAGGGGGCCCGCGUCGUUCCGUUGUGCAAGCCCGGGGUUCUUCGCCGGGAAGCCUGAAGGUGCGACAACCAAGGCCCCCACCUAGCGUUCUCGCUAGGGGUUCAUCACGGCACACCAACGGCAACGGCGGUUGGGAU
rnacentral:other from 1 species